rnacentral:rRNA from 1 species
CUACGGGAAGCUCCAGUGAGGAAUAUUGCACAAUGGGGGAAACCCUGAUGCAGCAACGCCGCGUGGAGGAUGACGCAUUUCGGUGUGUAAACUCCUUUUAUCAGAGAAGAAAAUGACGGUAUCUGAUGAAUAAGCUCCGGCUAACUCCGUGCCAGCAGCCGCGGUAAUACGGAGGGAGCAAGCGUUAUUCGGAAUCACUGGGCGUAAAGGACGCGUAGGCGGGUUUUUAAGUCAGGUGUGAAAUCCUAUGGCUCAACCAUAGAACUGCACUUGAAACUGGGGACCUAGAGUAUGGAAGGGGCAGGUGGAAUUAGUGGUGUAGGGGUAAAAUCCGUAGAUAUCACUAGGAAUACCGAAAGCGAAGGCGACCUGCUGGGACAUUACUGACGCUGAGGCGUGAAAGCGUGGGGAGCAAACAGGAUUAGAUACCCGAGUAGUC